rnacentral:rRNA from 1 species
GGACUACUGGGGUAUCUAAUCCUGUUUGCUCCCCUAGCUUUCGUCUCUCAGCGUCAGUUGUGAUCCAGCAAGCCGCCUUCGCCUCGGAUGUUCCUACGGAUAUCUACGCAUUUCACCGCUACACCCGUAAUUCCACUUGCCUCUCUCACACUCUAGCAUAGCAGUUUCGUUAGCAGCCCCUGGGUUAAGCCCAGGGAUUUCACUCUCGACUUGCUACACCGCCUACAGACCCUUUACGCCCAGUAAUUCCGAGCAACGCUGGCCCCCUACGUAUUACCGCGGCUGCUGGCAC